AAAGAAUUUGGCGGUAUUUUAGUCCCGUUAGAGGAACCUGUUCUUUAAACGAUAAAACACGUAAAAUCUUACUUAAUUUUAUUAUAGUUUGUAUACCGUCAUUAUUAAAUAAUCUUGAAAGAGUUAACUAUUGAGGCUGACAGAUAAAGUUAAAUGUAUUAGAUCAAGGUGCAGCUUAUAGUUAAGUAGAAAUGGGUUACAAUAAUAUAUACAUUUAGAACGAAUUGUAAGUGGAAUUACUUAUAAAGAAGGUGGAUGUAAUUGUAAAAAUAUUUUAAUAAGAUAUUUUGAGAUAGGCUCUAAAUUAUGUACAUAUCGCCCGUCGCUCGCGGGAAA
rnacentral:rRNA from 1 species